CCUACGGGGUGCUGCAGUGGGGAAUAUUGCACAAUGGGGGAAACCCUGAUGCAGCGACGCCGCGUGAGUGAAGAAGUAUUUCGGUACGUAAAGCUCUAUCAGCAGGGAAGAAAAUGACGGUACCUGACUAAGAAGCCCCGACUAACUACGUGCCAGCAGCCGCGGUAAUACGUAGGGGGCAAGCGUUAUCCGGAUUUACUGGGUGUAAAGGGAGCGUAGACGGCAGCGCAAGUCUGGAGUGAAAUCCCAUGGCUUAACCAUGGAACUGCUUUGGAAACUGUGCAGCUAGAGUGCAGGAGAGAUAAGCGGAAUUCCUAGUGUAGCGGUGAAAUGCGUAGAUAUUAGGAGGAACACCAGUGGCGAAGGCGGCUUACUGGACUGUAACUGACGUUGAGGCUCGAAAGCGUGGGGAGCAAACAGGAUUAGAUACCCGAGUAGUC
rnacentral:rRNA from 1 species